GGCCUAAGACACCACAUGGGUCAUUUCUUCCAGGCUCCAACUUGCUUCUGCUUUGCCAUAUGGUAACACGCCGUAUUAUGGAAGCACCAUCAUUACCGCCAUUUGCAGGGGAAGCCUAAAGAGAUAAAUGCCAGCCAGCAUCCCUGUCUCUGGGGCCCUGGAGAGGCCUUCAACACACCUGGCCUCACUGCCCUGUGGCUUCAACAAAGAGGCCGAGCAUCUCCUAUAAACCUUGAGGUCCAUGGAUGACAUAGCGGAAUGAUGGAUUUCAGAAAAGGCAGGUGCUUCCCACUCUUUAAAUUUUUGUUUAUUCUUUCCAAGUUUCCCAUCAACAGCCCUGCAGUAAAAAUUCAGGGCUUCAGAGACAAAUAUUUCAUGAGUACAGACUGUGAUGAGGAAAAGCAAGCCAUUCCCUCUCUAUCAGGAUCCAGAGCACACUGCUGUUACGACUCCAGAACCGAUAAGGAAGCUAUGUGUGGAAGUAUGAGCUCAGGUCGCCUUCUGACCCUCUGUGACGGUCUAUUUCAGGCAGUUAUGGAUAGAUAACAUUACAGACACUGGGAUCUUUAACAAGUGACACAAACAAGAGAAGAAGCAGACAGGACCAUUUAACUUCAAACUCCACCGAAGAGAGCUGAAUUGUAAGCUUCCUACAGCAAGCCCGGCUGGCGGCUAUGUGGCAGUCUUCAUUUCUCAGCGGAAAAGCCACUCCCUUGAGACUCUCCAGGCACCCCCCAACCGCAUUUUUUAUCAAGUGUCUAAAAGACACAAUGAACAAAAACCAGAGCUUUUGAAUACAGAUUUCCAGUAAAACCAAACCCAGCUUGGGUCAGAUGCACCUUUCCAGCAACCACCAUCUCAGCAACAACCUGCCAGCUGUCAACUGGAAGUUCAGCUUCUGGGAACUUCAGCCCCCUUCUCAGAGGAGCAAGGUCCUAGCACCAACAGCACCUGCAGUGGAGCCCAAGUAUGGCUGCUUCAUGGAGAAGGCAGGUAUCUGUUUGCGUGCAAAUCCGUGAGUGCUUGCAUCUCGUGUAUUUGAAAAUCCUGUUUAAGAAUGCAGAGGUCCAUAUAGUGUCAUUAAAACAAAUGAGUAUAACCCUUUGGUCAUCUAG
ensembl:lncRNA LINC01533 long intergenic non-protein coding RNA 1533